rnacentral:rRNA from 1 species
UACGGGGGGGGCAAGCGUUGUUCGGAAUUACUGGGCGUAAAGGGCUCGUAGGCGGCCAACUAAGUCAGACGUGAAAUCCCUCGGCUUAACCGGGGGAACUGCAUCUGAUACUGGAUGGCUUGAGAUUGGGAGAGGGAUGCGGAAUUCCAGGUGUAGCGGUGAAAUGCGUAGAUAUCGGGAGGAACACCAGUGGCGAAGGCGGCACUCUGGGCCGGUACUGACGCUGAGGAGCGAAAGCGUGGGGAGCGAACAGG